UUCAGAAGGAAUGGUACCAGCUCCUCUUUGUACCUCUGGUGCAAUUCUUGCAGCCCUAUUUUACAGCUCACAGAAAUUAAUUAAUUGAACAGUGCUUCUGAUCUGGAAAGUGAUGGACUCAGGCUUAUAGCAUAGGCAGCCUGACUCCACAGCUCAACUAUUAAACACUACUCUCAUCACCCCACAGGGCCUGAAUUUUCUGCUCCUGAAUUCAAACAUUAAAAUGUGUGGUAUAUCAGUACUGGGAUUUAUGAGGACAAUGUGGUUAAUUUAAAUGCCUUUUGGAGCAAAUAGGACGUAUCUUAUUCCAAUUUUUUGAAGAUAGAGAAAGUGCGUGGUCCUGAACACAACAGAGGUGGUUACAAGAAGAAAUAAAAUGUUGGCUGGCAGAAGCAGCAGGGAAGAUUUCAUAUUGAAGACUAACUAGUUCUGAGACGUUUUGGAUGUCUUCUUGCAAACAAAAUAGAAUGCAACUGAAGAAAUGGCUGGUGCAAUUCAGCAAGCUUUCUGUUUUUCUCAUGCAUGAGAAAAAUGCAUUUCAGCUGAAAACAGUAUUAUGAAGGAGAAGUACUUCAAAAUAAAACACUUUACUCAACCCAAAAGACUCACUAUAAGUUCUCAAACAGUAGCUGCCACUUCUAGCUGGGAGAGAAAUGAGAGCUCUGCUCAUGGUGAUCCAGUAUCUCCAGAAUCCAUCACCACUGCUGACCUCCCACUCCAUGUCUCCAAGUGCUCUGCUAUACCUGCCACCAGCAGCUGCCACCUCCAGACUUUGGAAGGUUAUAAUAAAACCUCUGUUCUACGAUCUGCCUUCUGCUUCAACAUCCUCACUCCCCACAAACAAUUCUAAUAAACAGCAAU
rnacentral:lncRNA from 10 species